rnacentral:rRNA from 1 species
GGCCGUAACUGACGCUGAGGAGCGAAAGCGUGGGGAGCGAACAGGAUUAGAUACCCUGGUAGUCCACGCCGUAAACGUUGGGCGCUAGAUGUGGGGACCAUUCCACGGUUUCCGUGUCGCAGCUAACGCAUUAARCGCCCCGCCUGGGGAGUACGGCCGCAAGGCUAAAACUCAAAGGAAUUGACGGGGGCCCGCACAARCGGCGGAGCAUGCGGAUUAAUUCGAUGCAACGCGAAGAACCUUACCAAGGCUUGACAUACACGAGAACGGGCCAGAAAUGGUCAACUCUUUGGACACUCGUGAACAGGUGGUGCAUGGUUGUCGUCAGCUCGUGUCGUGAGAUGUUGGGUUAAGUCCCGCAACGAGCGCAACCCUCGUUCUAUGUUGCCAGCGCGUAAUGGCGGGAACUCAUAGGAGACUGCCGGGGUCAACUCGGAGGAAGGUGGGGAUGACGUCAAAUCAUCAUGCCCCUUAUGUCUUGGGCUUCACGCAUGCUACAAUGGCCGGUACAAAGGGCUGCAAUACCGUAAGGUGGAGCGAAUCCCAAAAAGCCGGUCUCAGUUCGGAUUGAGGUCUGCAACUCGACCUCAUGAAGUCGGAGUCGCUAGUAAUCGCAGAUCAGCAACGCUGCGGUGAAUACGUUCCCGGGCCUUGUACACACCGA